rnacentral:rRNA from 1 species
GACGAACGCUGGCGGCGUGCCUAAUACAUGCAAGUAGAACGCUGAAGGAGGAGCUUGCUUCUCUGGAUGAGUUGCGAACGGGUGAGUAACGCGUAGGUAACCUGCCUGGUAGUGGGGGAUAACUAUUGGAAACGAUAGCUAAUACCGCAUAAUAGCAGUUGUUGCAUGAUAACUGUUUGAAAGGUGCAAUUGCACCGCUACCAGAUGGACCUGCGUUGUAUUAGCUAGGUGGUGGGGGAACGGCUCACCAAGGCGACGAUACAUAGCCGACCUGAGAGGGGGAUCGGCCACACUGGGACUGGGACACGGCCCAGACUCCUACGGGAGGCAGCAGGAGGGGAUCUUCGGCAAUGGACGGAAGUCUGACCGAGCAACGCCGCGUGAGUGGAGAAAGUUUUCGGGUCGUAAAGCUCUGUUGUAAGAGGAGAACGAGUGUGAGAGUGGAAAGUUCACACUGUGACGGUAUCUUACCAGAAAGGGACGGCUAACUACGUG